GGAGAGGUCGCAUAGUGGUCUAGUGCGCGCGCUUGGAGAGCGCGUAUGCUCGCAAGAGUAUCGCGGGUUCAAAUCCCGCCCUCUCCG
rnacentral:tRNA from 1 species